rnacentral:misc_RNA from 1 species
GAUGAAGAACGUAGCGAAAUGCGAUACGUGGUGUGAAUUGCAGAAUCCCGUGAACCAUCGAGUCUUUGAACGCAAGUUGCGCCCGAAGCCAUUAGGCCGAGGGCACGCCUGCCUGGGCGUCACACGUCGUUGCCCCCCCAUCUACUCCUUCGGGAUUGCGGGGGGCGGAUGAUGGCCUCCCGUGCGCCUCGCCGCGCGGUUGGCAUAAAUGCCAAGUCCUCGGCGACGCACGCCACGACAAUCGGUGGUUGCGAAACCUCGGUUGCCCGUCGUGUGCGGUCGUCGCGCAUCGAGGGCUCGAAAAAAUUGCCGGGUUCCGGCUCGGCUUUCAACGCGACCCCAGGUCAGGCGGGGUUACCCGCUGAAUUUAAGCAUAUCAAUAAGCGGAGGA